rnacentral:rRNA from 1 species
GAUCCUGGCUCAGAAUCAACGCUGGCGGCGUGCCUAACACAUGCAAGUCGAACGAGAAAGUGGAGCAAUCCAUGAGUAAAGUGGCGACCGGGUGAGUAACACGUGACUAACCUACCUUCGAGUGGGGGAUAACCUCGGGAAACCGAGGCUAAUACCGCAUAACAUCGCAAGAUCAAAGCAGCAAUGCGCUGGAAGAGGGGGUCGCGGCUGAUUAGCUAGUUGGCGGGGUAACGGCCCACCAAGGCGAAGAUCGGUAGCCGGCCUGAGAGGGCGCACGGCCACACUGGAACUGAAACACGGUCCAKACUCCUACGGGAGGCAGCAG